AGCAGCCGCGGUAAUUCCAGCUCCAAUAGCGUAUAUUAAAGUUGUUGCAGUUAAAAAGCUCGUAGUUGAAUUUCGGGGUCAGUAGGUCGGUCGUGCCACUGGUAUGAACUGGUUUUACUGAUUCCUCCCUCUUGAAGAACUGUAAUGCCAUUAAUUUGGUGUUGCAGGGAAUCAGGACUGUUACUUUGAAAAAAUUAGAGUUGUUUAAAGCAAGCUAACGCUUGAAUACAUUAGCAUGGAAUAA
rnacentral:rRNA from 1 species